UACGUAGGGUGCGAGCGUUAAUCGGAAUUACUGGGCGUAAAGCGUGCGCAGGCGGUGAUGUAAGACAGUUGUGAAAUCCCCGGGCUCAACCUGGGAAUUGCAUCUGUGACUGCAUCGCUAGAGUACGGUAGAGGGGGAUGGAAUUCCGCGUGUAGCAGUGAAAUGCGUAGAUAUGCGGAGGAACACCGAUGGCGAAGGCAAUCCCCUGGACCUGUACUGACGCUCAUGCACGAAAGCGUGGGGAGCAAACGAGG
rnacentral:rRNA from 1 species